UAAAAACGCUGACAGAAAUGCUUAAAACACAUGCAAAGUCUAUGAGGAAAGUUUUAGCUUGCUAAAAUGGACUCAUGGCGGACGGGGUGAGUAACGCGUAAAGAACUUGUCCUUUAGACUGGGAUAACAGAGGGAAAACUUCUGAUAAUACUGGAUAAGUUAGUAUAUCGCAUGAUAUGCAAAUGAAAGCUACGGCACUAAAGGAGAGCUUUGCGUCCCUAUUAGCUAGUUGGUAAGGUAAGAGCUUACCAAGGCGAUGAUAGGUAGCCGGCCUGAGAGGGUGGACGGCCACAAGGGGACUGAGAUACGGCCCUUACUCCUACGGGAGGCAGCAGUGGGGAAUAUUGGACAAUGGAGGGAACUCUGAUCCAGCAAUUCUGUGUGUGUGAAGUAAGGUUUUAGGACUAGUAAAACUACUUUUAGUAGGGAAGAAAAAAUGACGGUACCUACAGAAGAAGUAACGGCUAAAUACGUGCCAGCAGCCGCGGUAAU
rnacentral:rRNA from 1 species